UUCCGGUUGAUCCCGCCGGACCUGACUGCUAUCGGAUUGAUACUAAGCCAUGCGAGUCAUUGUAGCAAUACAAGGCAUACGGCUCAGUAACGCGUAGUCAACCUAACCUAUGGACGGGAAUAACCUCGGGAAACUGAGAAUAAUGCCCGAUAGAACACUAUACCUGGAAUGGUUUGUGUUCCAAAUGAUUUAUCGCCAUAGGAUGGGACUGCGGCCUAUCAGUUUGUUGGUGAGGUAAUGGCCCACCAAGACUAUUACAGGUACGGGCUCUGAGAGGAGUAGCCCGGAGAUGGGUACUGAGACACGGACCCAGGCCCUAUGGGGCGCAGCAGGCGAGAAAACUUUGCAAUGUGCGAAAGCACGACAAGGUUAAUCCGAGUGAUUUGUGCUAAACGAAUCUUUUGUUAGUCCUAGAAACACUAACGAAUAAGGGGUGGGCGAGUUCUGGUGUCAGCCGCCGCGGUAAAACCAGCACCUCAAGUGGUCAGGAUGAUUAUUGGGCCUAAAGCAUCCGUAGCCGGCUCUGUAAGUUUUCGGUUAAAUCUGUACGCUUAACGUACAGGCUGCCGGGAAUACUGCAAAGCUAGGGAGUGGGAGAGGUAGACGGUACUCGGUAGGAAGUGGUAAAAUGCUUUGAUCUAUCGAUGACCACCUGUGGCGAAGGCGGUCUACCAGAACACGUCCGACGGUGAGGGAUGAAAGCUGGGGGAGCAAACCGGAUUAGAUACCCGGGUAGUCCCAGCUGUAAACUAUGCAAACUCAGUGAUGCAUUGGCUUGUGGCCAAUGCAGUGCUGCAGGGAAGCCGUUAAGUUUGCCGCCUGGGAAGUACGUACGCAAGUAUGAAACAUAAAGGAAUUGGCGGGGGAGCACCACAAGGGGUGAAGCCUGCGGUUCAAUUGGAUUCAACGCCGGG
rnacentral:rRNA from 1 species